CUUCUCUCUUCUCUUCCUUUCCAGCAACCUGCUCUAUAAAUUAUGAAUCUUAAACUUCACUGGAAAUUUCUCAUAGACUUCUUCAGUCUUAAAUGAGGGAGUCGAAGGUGUAACGGCUGUCGUCGGUGGAAGAAGGCCAGCUGAGGAACUAGGGAGGAGCGAGGAAUUUGGCUCGAGGUCAAGUCAACAGAUGAAGUGAGAAGAAACCACUGGGAGGGGGGCCAGAGGGUUCCACCACAACAAUCCUUCUUCUACAGUCCUAUCUCACACACAUACACUUUCAGGUUCUAGAAUUAGGCAGGGCCAUGACAACACCGAUGAGAGGAACCUAUUAAGUUCCUGACUAGCAACAGAGAUGUAUUGGCUGUCUAGAUGUGUAAGGAGUCCGCCCAGUCGGAGG
ensembl:lncRNA